rnacentral:rRNA from 1 species
UACGUAGGGGGCAAGCGUUAUCCGGAUUUACUGGGUGUAAAGGGAGCGUAGACGGUGAUGCAAGUCAGAUGUGAAAACCCGGGGCCCAACCCCGGGAGUGCAUUUGAAACUGCCAUGCUGGAGUGCCGGAGAGGUAAGCGGAAUUCCUGGUGUAGCGGUGAAAUGCGUAGAUAUCAGGAGGAACACCGGCGGCGAAGGCGGCUUACUGGACGGCAACUGACGUUGAGGCUCGAAAGCGUGGGGAGCAAACAGG